UCUCGUGAGACUUUUUGCAUGUACCUUAUGAAUAAGGACCGGCUAAUUCCGUGCCAGCAGCCGCGGUAAUACGGAAGGUCCGGGCGUUAUCCGGAUUUAUUGGGUUUAAAGGGAGCGUAGGCCGGAGAUUAAGCGUGUUGUGAAAUGUAGUGGCUCAACCUCUGCACUGCAGCGCGAACUGGUCUUCUUGAGUACGCACAACGUGGGCGGAAUUCGUAGUGUAGCGGUGAAAUGCUUAGAUAUCACGAAGAACUCCGAUUGCGAAGGCAGCUCACGGGAGCGCAACUGACGCUGAAGCUCGAAAGUGCGGGUAUCGAACAGGAUUAGAUACCCUGGUAGUCCGCACGGUAAACGAUGGAUGCCCGCUGUUGGCCUGAAUAGGUCAGCGGCCAAGCGAAAGCAUUAAGCAUCCCACCUGGGGAGUACGCCGGCAACGGUGAAACUCAAAGGAAUUGACGGGGGCCCGCACAAGCGGAGGAACAUGUGGUUUAAUUCGAUGAUACGCGAGGAACCUUACCCGGGCUUGAAUUGCAGAGGAAGGAUUUGGAGACAAUGACGCCCUUCGGGGUCUCUGUGAAGGUGCUGCAUGGUUGUCGUCAGCUCGUGCCGUGAGGUGUCGGCUUAAGUGCCAUAACGAGCGCAACCCCUCUCCUCAGUUGCCAUCAGGUCAAGCUGGGCACUCUGGGGACACUGCCACCGUAAGGUGUGAGGAAGGUGGGGAUGACGUCAAAUCAGCACGGCCCUUACGUCCGGGGCUACACACGUGUUACAAUGGCAGGUACAGAGAGACGGUCGUUCGCAAGUACGAUCAAAUCCUUAAAGCCUGUCUCAGUUCGGACUGGGGUCUGCAACCCGACCCCACGAAGCUGGAUUCGCUAGUAAUCGCGCAUCAGCCAUGGCGCGGUGAAUACGUUCCCGGGCCUUGUACACACCGCCCGUCAAGCCAUGAAAGCCGGGGGCGCCUGAAGUCCGUGACCGUAAGGAGCGGCCUAGGGCGAAACUGGUAAUUGGGGCUAAGUCGUAACAAGGUAGCCGUACC
rnacentral:rRNA from 1 species